UACGGAGGGUGCAAGCGUUAUCCGGAUUCACUGGGUUUAAAGGGAGCGUAGGUGGGUUGGUAAGUCAGUGGUGAAAUCCCCGAGCUUAACUUGGGAACUGCCGUUGAUACUAUCUGUCUUGAAUAUUGUGGAGGUGAGCGGAAUAUGUCAUGUAGCGGUGAAAUGCUUAGAUAUGACAUAGAACACCAAUUGCGAAGGCAGCUCACUACUCAAUCAUUGACUCUGAGGCACGAAAGCGUGGGGAUCAAACAGG
rnacentral:rRNA from 1 species